CUGGUCCGGGGAAACCGCGGCGGGGGGAUUACCCCCCCCGGUUCCCGCCCCAACGGGGGGCUCAGUUCAGGCUCCCCGGCCCGUCGGGCCCCGCACUGGGGACUUCACACCCACCCACAACCGGACCGGGCAGGGGAUGACCGGGACAGUUUUGUCCCAGCCGAGACCGGGGCAGCGCCAGCCCCGCGAGUCCGUGUUCUGGCCGUGGGCACGACAAGCCGGCUCCCGCCAGCGUCCGAGCACCCCCUGCCCUUCCUUCUAUCUCCCGUUCCUCAAUCACUCCAACCCCCGGUCCAUCCCUACCUCCGACACCCGGUACCGGCCCAGACUGCUCGCUCCGGGGCAGCGGGAGCCGUGCGGGGCCGUGCCGCUCCCACGCGGGUUGUAGACACCGUGGGUGUCCACGGGCACGUUCACGGGGUGCCUCCGGGACAGCCCGGGACAACCUGGGCUCGAGCGGCUGGAAGAGGCUGUAGCCCCGUCCCGCUGGGCACGGACCGGCACCGGAGAGGGCUCCGUGGGCUGCGGAGGGGCGCCCGGCAGCCCGGACGGUUCACGUCCCCGGGGACCGCACGUCGCGUCCCCCGGAAAGCCGGUGGCCCCAGGCCGGUGUCCCCGGGCUUUCCCGGGACUGUGGUCCCCGUGCGCCCCGGGUUGUCACGGAGCUCUGCCUCCCCCGUGCGCUCGGGACUGCCCCGGGAGAUCCCGUCACUCCUACCCCUGUGCACCCGGGCUGUCCCGGGACAUCCCGGGCUAUCCCCUUUCCCCGCUCCCCUCCGUGCGUCCGGAGCCGUCCGGGGCCGUCCCAGGUUAUUCCGGGACCGGUUCCUCCUUGCGCCGGGAGCUGUCGCGGGCCGUGCCGGACUCCCCCCGCCGGUGCCGGUGCCUGAAGAACGUGUGCGCGGGACGGCGGGGAAGGCGGGGGGCGGCAGCCGGGAGCUCUGGGCACGGGGCCGGGGCGCAGCCACCCGCCGGGCUAAUCCGGGCCGUGACGGACAGCCCCGGCGCCGCCGCUCCCGCCGCCCCGUAAGAGAUGCCGCAGCUCCGCCGCUCCCCAUUGUUAGGGCGAGGACGCGGGGAGGCCCCGCGCGGCGGGACCGGCCCACGGGGACCCUCCGCGCCGCCCCUAUAAGAGGGAAGGGGCUGGAAGAUGCUCCCGGGUGCUGA
rnacentral:lncRNA from 1 species